AAAAAAAAAUGAAAUAAGCAGCUUAUUGAGUUUCAACUUCAAUUCCAAACGGAGCCAUAGUUUAAAAUUAUGACAAAAUUUUUUAGUAAACACUAGUUAUUAUAACUUGAAAGUUGAAUUGAUAUAGAGUGUUUGGUCUAUCUUAUUCUGCAAAUAUCAUUAAAGAACAAAAAUAAUACUACUUAUAUCAGAGACUGUUCAAAUAUGCUCGGAGUUUGGUUUGUUUUUGUUUUUGCCUUUUGGUCAGAGCUAUAUAUAUUUUUUCACAUGAAAGAUGAAAGUAACUUUCACUAAUUCAAUGCAUCAUCCACUAACCGACACCAAAAGAUGAAAUUGGUUAAGUUUGGGCCUAAAAAGCUCAAUUGACAGUAUCCCAAUGAUGAAUUUAGAUUCAAUACUAAACUAAUUUACUACAUAUGCAUAUAUAUAAGAAUGUACAAUUAAGAUUUAAUUAAUUUUAUAUUCUUAUCUAAUAACUACUAAUUGUGUAUUUUAAAAAAAUUAGUAACAGAUCAACUAAGGACUGAACUCCUCAGUUGCGGGCCGUUAUCAAAUCAUUAACCAACACCCAAAUGGCUGUUGCAGCAACCAACGAAUUGCUUUUGCUGCUAAAAGCACAUUAGCUAAUAGCCCAAUAACAUACCAGCAGUUAGGAAUUGCAACAGUGGGCUUGGGUCGGACUUUUUUCAAGCCCAGGUCCAAGCCCACUCCAAGUUUUGCAUGUUGCGGGCAUGGGCUGGGCUGGGCUGGGCUCGAGGCCGGACUUGGACUUUAUUUAUUUUUUUUAAAAAUUUAAAUUAUUAUAAAUUUGAAAUAAAUUAAUGA
rnacentral:lncRNA from 1 species